rnacentral:rRNA from 1 species
GGCGAACGCUGGCGGCGUGCCUAACACAUGCAAGUCGAGCGGGGGGAGUACUUCGGUACAAACCUAGCGGCGAACGGGUGAGUAACACGUGGGUAACCUGCCUCAAAGUGGGGGAUAGCCUUCCGAAAGGAAGAUUAAUACCGCAUAACCCAUAGCUUCCGCAUGGAAGCAAUGGGAAAGAUUUAUCGCUUUGAGAUGGACCCGCGGCGCAUUAGCUAGUUGGUGAGGUAACGGCUCACCAAGGCCACGAUGCGUAGCCGACCUGAGAGGGUGAUCGGCCACAUUGGAACUGAGACACGGUCCAGACUCCUACGGGAGGCAGCAGUGGGGAAUAUUGCACAAUGGGCGAAAGCCUGAUGCAGCAACGCCGCGUGAGUGAUGAAGGCCUUCGGGUUGUAAAGCUCUGUCUUUUGGGACGAUAAUGACGGUACCAAAGGAGGAAGCCACGGCUAACUACGUGCCAGCCGCCGCAGUAAAAC